rnacentral:rRNA from 1 species
UAUGUAGGAGAUGAUGAAGACUGUGAUGACCUGAUAGAUGCAUUUAAAGUAGAUACCAUUAUUCCUGACCCAUAUGAUGAUGUCUACAAGAAUAUACCAGUAAGUACUCACACGCUGGCACCUAAACCUGAUUGCAAGCAUUGUGGUGCAAAGAGGUUCCAGUAUGAGUCAAAUGGAUUUCGUUGCCGGUCUGGAAAAGUUAAGUUAGCACACUUAGAACCACCCUUGGAACUUAAAAUGUUGUACACAAGUUCAGAUCCCAAUGCCAUGCAUUUUAGGGAUAACAUUCGAUACUUCAAUGGACACUUUUCAUUCACCACCCUUGGAGUCAGCCUGGACAACAGAUACACAAACAUGAAGUCAGGAGUCUAUACGUUUCGAGCUCACGGUCAAAUUUAC